rnacentral:rRNA from 1 species
UACAUGGGGUGCAAACGUUGCUCGGAAUUAUUUGGGCGUAAAGCGCACGUAGGUGGUCUGUUAUGUCAGAUGUGAAACCCUCGGCUUAACUGAGGAAGUGCACCUGAAAACUGGCAGGCUUGAGUACGAAAGAGGGUCGCGGAAUUCCCGGUGUAGAGGUGAAAUUCGUAGAUAUCGGGAGGAACACCGGUGGCGAAGGCGGCACU